rnacentral:ncRNA from 2 species
UAGACCAGCUUUCUCCGAGUUCACGGCCUAAGGCCCAUGGGGCUAAGGCCGGCGAACCGACAGGGUGUGCCCGGAAACGGGCACGCCUCCCAUUGCGGAAAGGAGAAGGGCGGUUUCCGGU